rnacentral:rRNA from 1 species
GACGAACGCUGGCGGCGUGCUUAACACAUGCAAGUCGAACGGAAAGGCCCUGCUUUUGUGGGGUGCUCGAGUGGCGAACGGGUGAGUAACACGUGAGUAACCUGCCCUUGACUUUGGGAUAACUUCAGGAAACUGGGGCUAAUACCGGAUAGGAGCUCCUGCUGCAUGGUGGUGGUUGGAAAGUUUCGGCGGUUGGGGAUGGACUGGAGGCUUAUCAGCUUGUUGGUGGGGUAGUGGCUUACCAAGGCUUUGACGGGUAGCCGGCCUGAGAGGGUGACCGGCCACAUUGGGACUGCGAGACGGCGCAGAAGCCUACGGGAGGCAGCAGUGGGGAAUAUUGCACAAUGGGCGGAAGCCUGAUGCAGAAACGCCGCGUGCGGGAUGACGGCCUUCGGGUUGUAAACCGCUUUCGCCUGUGACGAAGCGUGAGUGACGGUAAUGGGUAAAGAAGCACCGGCUAACUACGUG